CAAAUAAUAAAUUUCUUAAUCUCUUAGCUUCUUUACAAGUUGUAUCUGAAGCUAUGAUCUUAGCCUACCUAAUGUUUUGGACUUCACAGUUUGUUUGGUUGAUCCCCAUGAGAUAGUAGCUUUUCCUAGGAUAAACACAUAUAUAAUAGCAGACAUAAUGUUAAAGUAUCGGCAAUCCAAUUUACAUCAUUGAAACCCUCCUAAAUAGUAGAACACAUUACAUGGCUCCCUUCAAGUAUUCAAAUAUUGUCACCAAAGCAAUCGAAUACUCUAUACUAGGAUUAGAAGCAUUAAAAACACUUAUAGCAUAGGCUAUAUUUGGUCCGGUCCUAUUGAUUAUAUAUAAGAAAGAUUUUUAUUAUGUUUGCAUAUUUCAACUGAGAUACAGAUUCUCCUUGUUUCUUCUUCAAAUACAUACUAGAUUCAUAGGGUGUAGAAACAAGUUUAUAAUCAAAGUAGUUGAAUUUCAUCAACAUUUUCCAUAGUAAUAAAUUGAUAUAAAGCUAUCUCUUCUAAAGCUUUUAUUAUUUUCAUUCCUACGAUAGCAUCUACUUAUCAUAGAUCCUUCAUCUCAAAGUUCUUCGACGGGUAUUGAUGAGAGCACAAAAGUGCAAUCAUCGUACCACCUUAAUUAGUAUUAUAGUUAAUUUUUAAUGAUAAAAUUAAUUAAUUAAUAUUGUAUUUGUGUUUGAGUGCAAGGAGUCCAAGAGACCCAAUAACAUUGGGUUUGAGCCCAAUGCCUGGCAGCUCGAGUUCAACAAAUUCCCCAGCUGCCAUGCAAGCAUGAAAUCCUGCGCCGUCCAUCAAGUUACCUACCAAAUCAGUCCCGCAUCAAGGCCCCACGAUCAUUUUCUUCUCGGCCAUCUGCCCAGCCAAUCAUCAACAUCCCAAAUAAAUUCAUUCUGUCCGCAUCGUCAACGAGUCCUCCUAGCAUCCCACGGAUCACGCCGUCAUCACAGCCGUCCAUCUCGUGAUCAGAUCAAGCUCCCACGCAUGUGAAGCAUGUGUGCGUUCCCACCUUCCUUCACAGCAGUGGCAUCCGUCCCAGCUUCAUCCCGUGCGAAAGAAAGGGAGAAGAAAGGAUUCAUCCCAUCCGCAUUCCUCUUCCGGCUUCCCGUGAUCCCGCCUCACAGAGCCGUGCGCCCAUUCUGAAAAACCAAGCAUCGCAUCCCAGCGCCCGGAUCCAAGCCUCCCGUGAUGCUAGCAGUGGUCCCACGGCAGCCUCCGCCUCAGCCCGCCAGCCCCUCCUUCCGUCCGACGCAGCAUCCACGUCUUCUUCCUCCCGUCGAUCACGUUCCCAGCCGGCCGUGAUCAGCGAUCCAGCCUCCUCCCAGCGCCCGGAUCUCUUCCAUGAUCGGCUCCUUACAGCAGCAUCUCCUCCGCCUCAGCCCGCAUCUCCUUCCUUCCGCGAUCGCACCAGCCUGACCCGAAGAAGCAAGGCCACGUCCUCCUCACAGCCGUGGCAUCCAUCCCAGCUCCUUCCACAUCCUCCGCAAUCCACCCAGCCGUCCGCAUCCGUGAUCCAAGCAACCCGGACGAUCGCCUCCUCCCAGCGAUCUUGCGUCCGUUACCUCCUCCCGGCGUUUUCAGCCUCUCCCGUUGUGGAUGACGCGUUCGGAUCCGCCCCACAGAUCACGCUCGCCCGUUUCUCCUCCUCUCCAUGCUGUGGCGUCUAUGCAGUCCAAGCCAACAUCGGACUAGGUCAGGCCAAUAAAAUUUUGGUUCAUCAUCACACAAAUUACGUAAUUGAUUUGUUUCCAUCCAUUGAAUCCUCUUCAUAGGAUCUCCAACAAUGAAAGUUGUGUUUCAACUGUAGGUGACUCCCUUAUGCAUUUAACCCUAUCACCUCGAUGAUUUAGGACCGCAUUCCUAUGAAGUCCUUUCAUCAAUUGAUCAAUAAUAUUCUUCUCAUAUCUCACAAAGUUAAGAAAAAUAACUUUGUUAGUAAGACUUUCACAGGCUUAAAUCCAACAAGUAUGUUGAUUGAUCUUUUUGUUUUCAUACUUUGAUUUAUUAAAUCAACCAAAGCUUUACAAUCACAAUUAAUAAUAGUUGGAAUAAUUCUACUAACUAAAGUAAUCUCAAAUAAUAAAUUUCUUAAUCUCUUAGCUUCUUUACAAGUUGUAUCUGAAGCUAUGAUCUUAGCCUACCUAAUGUUUUGGACUUCACAGUUUGUUUGGUUGAUCCCCAUGAGAUAGUAGCUUUUCCUAGGAUAAACACAUAUAUAAUAGCAGACAUAAUGUUAAAGUAUCGGCAAUCCAAUUUACAUCAUUGAAACCCUC
rnacentral:lncRNA from 1 species